GACGAACGCUGGCGGCGUGCUUAACACAUGCAAGUCGAGCGGUAAGGCCCUUUCGGGGGUACACGAGCGGCGAACGGGUGAGUAACACGUGGGUGACCUGCCCUCAGCUCUGGGAUAAGCCUGGGAAACUGGGUCUAAUACCGGAUAUGACUCCAUGACGCAUGUUGUGGGGUGGAAAGCCUUGUGCGGCUGAGGAUGGGCCCGCGGCCUAUCAGCUUGUUGGUGGGGNGAUGGCCCACCAAGGCGACGACGGGUAGCCGGCCUGAGAGGGCGACCGGCCACACUGGGACUGAGACACGGCCCAGACUCCUACGGGAGGCAGCAGUGGGGAAUCUUGCGCAAUGGGCGAAAGCCUGACGCAGCGACGCCGCGUGAGGGAUGACGGCCU
rnacentral:rRNA from 1 species